rnacentral:ncRNA from 1 species
AUAUUUAUCAAUAUACUCAUAUAUAUCCGAGAUAUGGUCGGAAGUCUCUACGGUUAACCUUAAAUUAACCACUAUGGGUGAAAUAAAUAGA